GAGGGGGAGAGCUUGAGGAAUGGAGUGAGAAGAGCUAUAAGUUGGUGCUGUUUGCCAGGGUUGGUGUCUACAGAGGGCCAGGGGAAUUCCAAGCGAGGGAAGCAAGGAGAACUUCUUGGACUCCUCAAGUUCUACCAGAAGGCAGUGCUAUGGUGUGCCCAACCCUCCCAGGGGCCUAAAUGGCCACCCUCUUGGGAAUGCCCAAAGCAUCUGCUAUUUAGGACUUGGUUACAGAGCGCCAUCAGCUUCCCCAAGGUAAGCCAGCAUUGACUUCCAGGCCAUUUAAUUUACAUCUUAAUUUUGCUCAUUGCUCAUUUC
rnacentral:lncRNA from 1 species